rnacentral:lncRNA from 1 species
GAUGAAAAAGUCUGCUGCAAAGUGCAGCUCUCUCAGUGAGGCUUUUCCCUAACAACACUGAGUCUUGGGUUUUAGUUACUUGUGGUUCUGGUUUUAAUAGACUUAGCUGCUGUGGGAUGCCUAAGAAGCUUAAAUUUUGGGUGCCUUAGGAUCACCAGGAAGAAAAACAAACAAACCAAUAAAGAUUUGGAUAACAAGAGAGAAGUUGAUUGAAAACUGUCAACUCCCUGAAAGUUUUAAACCAGGCAUGAAGCCUCCUGUGUCCCUCAUUCAUCAUGUUUCUGAAGACAGUUGACCUGUUGACUUAAAGACAUCAUUUAAGAGAGUCAGCCAGAACUAAUGACAGUGUGAAGACCUGCUAACCAUGGUGGAGGAAAGGAGGCAGAGAAGAGUAAAGAUCCAGCCAACCUCGUAACAAUGAAAUACAAGUGCUAAUGUUAAUUCUAGCAGUAUCCUUCUAUAGGAGUCCAAGAAAUGUUUGUCCCCUGAGACACUGUGAAGAUAUUAGCAGAUAGUUGAAUCUGAAUGUUAAUUACACUGCCUUCUUCAUGAUUUCUAGAGAAACUGCUCGAGUGACACUUUCCUAUAUUCUGAGAGUACAGCACAAAUCCAGUGUAAUUGUUUUAUUCAUUUCUACCACUCCCUAUCUUAGACUGCUAGCCAAUUGGUGGCAAAGCCUGCCCUAUCACCACUAGCAACUAAGGGCAUUCAACCUUCCAACUUGCCUCUGGCAUACAACAUUUGUAAAAAGAAAAGAGUAAUCUUUCGUCUCCAUUGUAAGUGUUUAAUUGGUUCAACAGCAUCCUCCCUACCCCUCAAGCUCUCGGAGUUAAAUAUAAAUUCAGUCCGUGAUUGAUGUGACAAAAUAUAUACAAAGACAAAUAAAAGACAGAUUGCCUUUCAGGUCUGAAGCAGCAAGGCCCAGGAAUUCUAGCAACAUUGGCUUGUCUGAAACAGCACAGAGUGAAUAGUAUUAUCAUAACCAAGAGGGGUCAGAAUAGCUGGACAACAGUAGCUGUAUAAAAGGAAAGUGCAGGAAGCAAGCACCUGCAAUUUGUCUCCAGGGCUGACCCACAGAUGUGAUUUAUCUGUUCCUAGUUGCACUGACAGAUGAUUCAGCCCUUAAGAGCCCAAAGCCAUAAAAUACUUGAACCAUACACACAAAUUCCUUUGUUCUGAUUUUAUUCUCCGUAAGCAACUGACAAAUUACGAUUUGAUUUCCCAUUUAUUUUUCAAUGGUUCACUUUGUUCUAAAAAGUUUAUAAGGGGCUUAUAAAAGUGUAUAUGCUUCAGUUUAAAAGUUAAAAUUGAAUGUAAAUGGACACGGUGGGUUGUGGUUUUGCCUGCCUCAUAUCCAUUUUACCCUUAUUAUUUUCUCUGGGGAAAUGAUCUACCUCUCAGGUGGAACUGGUACCAUUUCAUCACAAGCUCUGAGUGAAGGCAUGUAAUCCACACCUGCCCUAUCGGUAAAUUCCAUCCAUCUGGUCGCAGUGGCUUGGCCAAGUGACUCACAGAAACUCAAUCCUGGGGACUUUGUCAAAAUGAUGGGGAAAGAGAAGCUCUUCUUCCACUGGAACUUUUUUUUUUUUUUUUGAGACAGAUCCUCCCUCUGUCCCCCAAGCUGGAGUACAGUGGCUCGAUCUCAGCUCACUGUAGCCUCCGCCUCCUGGAUUCAAGCAAUUCUCAUGUGUCAGCCUCCUGAGUAGCUGGGACUACAGAAAUGCACCAUCACCACACGUGGUUAAUUUUUGUAUUUUUAGUAGAGAUGGGGUUUCAUCAUGUUGCCCAGACUGGUCUCAAACUCCUGACCUCACGUAAUCUGCCCUCCUUGGCCUCCCAAAGUGCUGGGAUUACAGGUGCGAGCCACUACACCCGGCCUCCGCUGGCACUUCUAACUGUAGGACAAUAGCCUGGUGCUGCCAGAGCCCCCGGGCAGGGAGGCAGGAAUCUGAGAAUGGAGUCAACACAGAAGAGAGAAGAGCUCUGAGAUGGAGAGAGAGACAGCUUAUAGCUGAAAUGUGAGAUUUUUUCAUUUUGUUUGUUUUUUAGUUCCCAGAUCCAGCCAUGGCUGAAGCUAGAUUGAUUCCUGGGAUUUCUUAGUAGAUAUCAUAGAUUCUCUCUCUUUUUUUUUUUUCAAUUAUGUUGAGUUUCUGACCUGGCUGAAGGUCCUGAUUAAUUCAGUAUAUGAGAAAAGUAGGGUGAAAAAAAAAUAGUGAAGAAAAAAAUGAAGCUAGUAGUCAAGUGAGCACACAUUCACAAAAAUGUUUGCCAUGAAUUCCAGGAUACUUGCUGGUACAGGCUGAUCCGUCUACUCAAACUUCACAGCCAUCAGUACAGGGCAAAAGCUGCUUAGUCAUGUUGGCCAGAGUGUCCACAAGAUUAAAACUCACCCAGAUGCUCAGAAGAAAUAAAACUAUAUUCCCGAUUAUGAUACUUGAAAAAAAAUUCUACCUUGGGCUGCUUGUAAGGAAGAUGCUGUGUAAAAUGGUGAUUCACACCCUCAACCAUAUUCCUACAAUAAAUGUGACAAUGAAUUAAUGGAUUUCAUGGGAUUGUUUCUUAUAACAUCCUGAUGACAAAACACCAAAGCACAGUUUAAUGAGAGCAGUUUUAAAGUCGGGAAAUGAUGCAGGCCACUUGUGUAGUCACUGCUAGAAUGGUUAGUCAGAACAAAGGUGACACCUGCAGGAUAAAUGAGUGCAGGCUUGAUAUGGUUUGGAUCUGUGUCCCUGCCCAAAUCCCAUGUUGAAUUGUAAUCUCCAAUGUUGGAGGAAGGGCCUGGUGGGAGGCGACUGGAUCGUGGAGGCAGAUUUCCCGCUUUGUGCUGCUCUCAUGAUAAUGAGUGAGUGCUCAUAAAAUCUGGUUGUUUAAAAGCUUGUAGCGGGCCAGGCGCGUUGGCUCACGCCUGUAAUCCCAGCACUUUGGGGGCCGAGGCGGGCGGAUCACGAGGGCAGGAGAUCCAGACCACGGUGAAACCCCGUCUCUACUAGAAAUACAAAAAAUUAGCCAGGCGUGGAGGCUGGCGCCUGUAGUCCCAGCUACUCGGGAGGCUGAGGCAGGAGAAUGGCGUGAACCCGGAAGGCGGAGCUUGCAGUGAACAGAGAUGGCGCCAUUGCACUCCAGCCUGGGUGACAGAAAGACUCCGUCUCAAAAAAAAAAAAAAAAAAAAAAAAAAAAAAAAAAAAAAAGGCGUGUAGCACCUCCCUGCUCUCUAUCUUGCUCUUGCUGCGGCCAUCUAAGAUGUGCCUGCUUCUCUUUCACCUUCCACCGUGAUUGAAAAUUUCCUGAGUCCUCCUGACAAGCCGCUCUGCAUCCUGUACAGCUUGCAGAACUGUAAGCCAAUUACACCUCUUUUCUUUAUAAAUCACCCAGUCUCAGAUAUCUUUUUAUAGCAAUGCAAGAAUAGACUCAUACAAGGCUGUACCCCUAGGUGACCGAAUGCUUUAGGGCCAUAAAGCCACUUAAAAAUUCAUUUGCUUUGAGCAGCUGAUCUAAGUCUUAUAUUCUAUGGCAAUUAGUUGACAGGAAUCUUUGUCUAUUGAAGCCAUUUUUUACUCUUACUCUGAUUCCAGAAAACCACAUCUCAAGCAAAGAAAAGGUUGUUUGUUGGCCGGGCGCGGUGGCUCACGCUUGUAAUCCCAGCACUUUGGGAGGCUGAGGAGGGCGGAUCACGAGGUCAGGAGAUUGAGACCAUCCUGGCUAACAUGGUGAAACCCCGUCUCUACUGAAAAUCCAAAAAAAAAAAAAAAAAAAAAAAAAAAAAAAUUAGCCGGGCGUGGUGGCGGGCGCCUGUAGUCCCAGCUACUCAGGAGGCUGAGGCAGGAGAAUGGCGUGAACCUGGGAGGGGGAGCUUGCAGUGAGCAGAGAUCGCGCCACUGCACUCCGGCCUGGGCGACAGUGAGACUCCGUCUCAAAAAAAAAAAAAAAAAAACAAAGGUUGUUUGUCUUUCUCUUUCUUAUGAGGGGAGUGGGCUUCCCAUCUAGUUUUCCUAGAAGAAAUCCCUCUCUGAGUUAAAAGAGCCUUCCUGCCUACAAUCUGGCUGAGAUAGAACAUUUUUCAUUUGUUUGUUUGUUUGCUUUAAUCUUAUGACUGUCACCACUGAGUGACUAGCAUACAAGCAGGCCCUGUGGAGUUGAAGGACAGUUCAGGCAGCCCCUGCUUGCUUACAUAAAGUGUUGGAAAACACACCGGAGUUGGACAUGUGAUAAUCACACGGAAGUAUAUGUAAUAAAAGUUUUCUGUUCCUACUGAGAUGGAAAAGUCUAUAAAGUCCCUAAUAACACUUGACCCUCUGGAUGCAAUUUUGGAAGCUGGGUUUCUAGCAUUUUGUAUGUCCAACCAAUUCUUCUUAUUUAUAUGAACAUUAUUCAUUUAAAAAAAAGUAUGAAAAGUUCAUUUUAAUAAUCGCAAAUUUUAAUUUGUUCCUUUUCUCUCUUGACUGGUAUUUCCAUUCCAUUUCUUCUGUAUAAUUUCAUCCUAAUAUAUUUUUAAAUUUGAAAGUUCUUUUGUUGAUAGUUAUCUUGAACAAAUAUACUUCUGUCAAUUGAAAUUCAUUAUUUUUAUUCUUGUGACUGUAAAGUUCUUAGUGUUAAAAUUUUCAUCGGGAUUCAGUUAACAUACAAUAGAUAUUAAAACCUGAUUGAUCAAAACAACAGAACUGUAUUAUAAAUUUUAGUGAGUACUUAUUAAACAUAAGAAAUAAAAUUUUAUUGAAUAGUCCUUUCUUACUGAAACUUAACAGGACUGUUUUUACAGUUGGUUUGUAUAUUUAUGGAUAAAUAUCACUUAUUGCUAGAAUAAGAGGAUUCAACAUCAAUUCUAUUUCUCAGUUUUGUUUUUAUAAAUAUAAGCAUUAAGAAACUUGGUUUACAUAAAUAAUUAGAAGGAAAUUAGAUGGAAAACAUUUUGCUUUCUCAAUGCCACUUAAUCAUUUGAGUGCCUUCUAAGUUAUAUUCAGAAAAUCACAUAGUGAUCCAUGUUAAAGUAAUUUUUAAUGAUCUUUGAAAAAAAUAUUUGGCCCUCUUUUAAUUUUCCUGAAGCAAAUCAUUAAACACCAUAAUGCUUGGGAAACACCAUAAUGCUUGGGAAAAGAUUUUUUUAAAAUCCUGUCAUUAAAGUCAUUUACUUUUGAAAUAUUUUAUUUUUAAUUGCCCCAUUUUUCCAGCCCUAGACUUUUUUAUACCCACAGUAAGUUCAGGCUGAGUGAGUGGCAUGUUCAUAAGAGAAGCACGACUGUGACAGGGGAAUGGGAAAUGGAGAACCAGCGUAAUGUCUCCAUUGCAGGUAAAUUUCAUACGGAAAUUAGGUAUCUGGAAAAAGAUUCCCUUAAAACUGAUUCUUUAUACCCUUAUAUCCUUAAAAGGCCUCAUGUACCUCAGGAGGCCUGUGUAUCUCAGUUUGAGGGCCAAUAUUCUCGUAGAGACAAAAAUGUAUAAAAAUAUAUACAAUGUGAUACUUCUUGAUACUAAAAAAAAAAUGCUAUAAAAGGAAGCAUAUGGUAAAAACCUGGAGGGAGAGUGCUAUGUGAGAUAAGGCAAUGAGAGAGGCCCCUGUGAGAGGGGCUGCCUAACCUGAGCCUGAAGGAUGAGCAUAGUUGUUUUGCAGAGCUGGUCAGGCAUGUUGUAAGUGGGAGGAACAGCAUGUGCAAAGGUCCUGUUGGAAAUAAGCUUGGCAUGUUUGAGUGGCAGAAAGAGGAUCUGUGGGGCUGGAGCAUGAUGACCAAGGGGAAGAGUGGAAGAAAGUGAGGUCCAGAAAUGGGCAAGGCCAUAUUUAUGAGGCCCUGAGGGAGCUGCACAUUAUUUUCAGCAUGAUUCAAAGCCAUCUGAGGUUUUAAGCAGGAGAAUGACAAGAGCUGAGUUUUGCUUUAGAAAUAUCUUUCUGGGUGCUGUGAGGUAGGGGCAGUGGAUGAUAGGGAAGUAAAAAUAAGCUAGCAAGUUGCAAGAUAGCUAUAGACUACUGCUGUCAUCCACGAGGGAAGUGACUGCAGCUUAGAACAGGGGACAACACUGAGGCUGAUAAGAAGAACUCAAUUUAGGAAAGCAUUUGGAGAAAAAGCCAACGAGAAUUGCUGAUGGGUUGCAUAUGCAGUGUGAAGAAAGAAAAAUAAUCUACCUGUAGAAUAAAUUCUAGAGGUGGAAUUGCUUAAUCAUGUCUAUGACAUAUUUUAAAAAAAAAACAUAAACUGAAGUGCUGGGCAGAUAUUUUGGACGACACACUAAGUGAUCAAGAACUCCAGUCUGAAAAUCUACCUGGAUAAGCAGUGAUAUGGACCCUACUCAUGGGCCAUUUUUCCAUAUCACCAUACAUGCCCCAGGCACUGAAAACUGCCAAAUAAACCUUCUUAAAAUGAGGUCCAUUUUCAAGGAACAACUCUUAUUGACACAGUUCUGAUCAGUCCAAAGUGUGCAACUAUCUAGUCUUAAGUAUGUUUUAUUUAAAUAAUGCCAGUAGGGAGUUGUGAAGCUAAAAUUAAUGUUUUGAAACUAUCCAUAAUUUUUUUAAAUGAAUUUUUUAUUAACCUUGCAAGAGACGUGAUCUAAAUUUUUAUCCUUUUCUUGCUAUAGAACAUAUUAUAAAAUUGUUGUAACACAAAAAGGCAAUCAAAGAGCAAGCAGCCAAAGGGUAGGAAAGAAGUAUUAUAGGUAUUAUAGAGAGUUGUCAGGCAGGUAAUUAAUAAAAUUUAAUUUUAUCUUGCUUGACUUUGUGAUUAUUGUGGUAUUUUUCAGUAAUUAAAAAUUUGUAAUUCAUUGUAGUUUCCUUUUCUCAGACUAAACAAAUACUUUCAUACUAAAUAUGUAUUUAAAUUUUGUAUUUUUUAUGUGAAAGAGGGCUCCCCAAAUUGUUUAAGCUUCAGGACCAUAAAACCUGGACCUGCUCCUGGCAAGUGUCAUCACUUAAUAACAUAGGAAAGACUUGACAUGGAGCAAAUGAUUGUUGUUGUUUGGGGAGAUGUAAUGUAGGGGGCAAUUAAUAGGGCUUUUUUGGCUUGGUUAAGCUAGAAAUGUCCAUUUACCAUCUUAAUGGAUGUAGGCAGUUGGAUAAAUGGGUCUGGAGCUCAAGAGUUCUGGGUUGGACAUGUAAGUUUUGGGUAUAAUUAGUGCAUAACUUUAAGAGACUGUGAAGAUUCCUAAGGUAAGAGUUUAUAGAGAAGGAAAAGAAGAGAAGAGGAUUCCUGACAAAGCUCUGAGGUCUUCAACAUUUAGAAAUUUAGUAUAAAAACAGAAUCAGCAAAGAGGGCCAAGCAGCAGCAGGCAAUGCCAUAGGAGGGAAACUAGGCAGGUGGUAGCCCAGAAACCUUGAUAAAGGAUUCCAUGGAAGAAGGGGAGUCAGUCAGGCCAAGCCCAGCUGGGAGGUUGUCUUAGUUCAUUUAAUGUUGCUAUAACAGAAUACCUGAAUCUGGGUAAUUUAUAAAGAAAGAAGUUUAUUUAGCUCAUGGUUCUGGUGGCUGGAAAGUCCAAGAUUGGGCAGCUGUAUCUGGUGAGGGGCUUAUGCUUCUAUAACUCAUGGCAGAAUGCAGAGCAGAAGAAAGCACAUGCAAACAAAGAGGCCAUGCAGGAGGAGUAAUCUCACUUUAUAACAACCUGCUAUUGCAGGAACUAAUCCAUUCCUAAGAGAGUGAGAACCUACCCACGACAUUAAUCUAUUCAUGAGGGAUUUGCUCCCAUGAGACAAACACCUCCCACUAGGCCCCAUCUCCCAAUACAACUGAACUGGCAGUUAAACUUCAACAUAAGUUUUAGUGAGGACAAACCACAUCCAAACCAUAGCAGAGGUCAAGAAAGUCAAAGGUGGGGUUGGUCAAAAGCCUCAGCCAUUGGUGACUCUGACAUGUGCCAUUUUCUUAGAGUGGUGGAUGAACAACUCUGGAGAGAAUUUAGGAUAGUCUUGGAGGUAAGGAAGCAAUGGACCGGGUGCAGUGGCUCCCACCUGUAAUCCCAGCACUUUGGGAAGCCGAGGUGGGCAGAUGACCUGAGGUCAGGAGUUCGAGACCACCCUGACCAACAUGGUGAAACUCCGUCUCUUCUAAAAAUACAAAAUUAGCCAGGCAUGGUGGUGCAUGCCUGUAAUCCCAGCUACUCAGGAGGCUGAGGCAGGGGAAUCGCUUGAACCUGGGAGGCAGAGAUUGCAGUGAGCCGAGGUCACGCCAUUGCACUCCAGCCUGGGUAACAGUGUAAGACUCUGUCUCAAAAAAAAAAAAAGAAGAAGAAGAAGAAAAGGAAAAGAAAAAGAGAAAGGAAGCAAUGACAGUGGAUAUAUUCAUCCUGCUUGAAAGUAUGGCUGCAAAGAAGAACAGAAAAGGGUGGUAGGAGCUGGAGGAGGUGUGGGUCCAAGGGGUGAAUUUGGUUUUGGUUUUUUAAUGAAUAAUAUUAAGCAUAUUUAUUUGCAAAUGGAAAUGAACCACUAGCAAGGAAAAACUGAUAUUGCAGGAAAGAAUGGGGAUAAUUGCAGAAUGAUCUAGAGUUUGAAUGGAAGCCUUUGCCUGAUCCAUUUUCUCUAUACAACAUGGAGAGAAUUUGGAAUCACAAAAUGACUAUUCUGACUAUCGGGGAUGGGGCACAGGAGAAGGAGUAAUAAAGAUUUGAGGUGAGAAAAGAAAUGUGAGGUAUUCUUGAAGGGAAACAUGACUUUGCUGUUUCUAUACUUUAUUACAAAAUUAUAAACUCUUUAGGGGAGGCCCUGUGUGUUAUACAUUUAUGGAAACCCCAUAGAGUCAGCAUAGCAUCUUGCAUACUCUAGGACUUCAAUGCGCUCCUGUUGAGUAGGUGGAUGGGUUGGAUGGAUGAGAAGUGCCUUGUAGGAAUCCAAAGGAAUAAAUUAAAAGACUUCAUCAAAUGGGGGAAAUUUCGAGUGAUGAGGAGGAUUCCAGAUAGGAGGGUGGCAUGAGUAAAGGUGCAAGUGUAGCUUCUCCUGGGAGGACUGUGCCUGGAUCUGAGGAGAGAUAUGUGUGUUUGAGAUGAUGGGAGAUGCAUUCAUAUGUGUUGGUGGGAUAAGCCCAAAUAGGUUAUGCCUUGCAAGUGAUGUUAAAGACUUUGGAUUAGCAUGUGAUUAGCAUGUAAUGCGGUAUCCAGGUUGAGAUUUUUUGGAACUUAGUUAAUACAGCCUGGACAAACAGAACAUUUAAAGCCACAAGUAGUUUUCAGUCAUUCAAAAUAUAGAAAUUUAAACUAGAAAGAUAAAGACUUCUGUUUUUAGGGAUAUCAUCUCAAGAAGUCUACAGUACGAAAAUGUAAAAUAAAUACUACUUUCUAAAAUGCAGCUACUAUUACCCCAAGAGGCUGGAGAUUAGCCUAGAAAGUACCAUUAUUAGACCAAUGUGUUAUCAUUCAAUUGCCUGGUAGGGAGUGGGGCACAGAGGAACAUGUAAAACCCCAAUAGACGGAGGGUGGUGUUUCUCUUGAAAGGAGUGAACAUCACCACUGUCAAUUGCCCUGGGAAGAAGUAGAUCCUAUGACAGGAAGUAAGGAUUGAGAAGGUAGACUACAGACUAGAGAGGAGGAGAAACUCAUCUCUUUCUGUGGGCCUCUGGUGAUGAGCCUGAUCAGGCUUUGAGUACUUUCAGUGGUGGGCAUGAGCGUGUACUUUGUAAGCAGGUCAACAUUUAGGCAGAAGGCAGUGGGUUGGCCUGCAGAUUCAGAGAAAUCACAUCUAAGUUCUCUAAGUUCUCUUCUUGUGCUUCCCCAACCCUUGAGUCCAUUUCAAUUCACUUUCAGCCUGGCCUAAGCAAGGUGGUAGGGAGAGAAGAACAUGCCUGGGACAUGUUUGGGUCCUGGUGGUGAAGGGCAGAGCAGAGCCCUUUCCUGAGGCCUGAAUGGUAAAAGCAUCAUACAUGUCACCAUGCGCCACAGGGCAGUGAUCCCUUGGGACCACAGGCAGUAGUGGCAAGGGCAUGAAGUAUCAUUAUUAAACAUAAGAGUCUGUCAUAGGGGAUUUUCUGAAAUAACUGAGGGAAACUCUACAAGAGCAGGUGGUAGCCAAAGUCAUAGUUUAGCAAUUUAAUGAAAAAAUUCUUAGUGUUUAAGCAGGUGAUGAUAAGUCAGUCCUCUAUCUCCACUCCCUGAAUUUGGAACCUUUAGAGAUUUAGAUACAGGAGACUAAAGAUGAAAACGUCAACUUUAUUACUACUAGCACUGGCUUGGAAAUUGUCAUAUACACACAGUAAACAACCAGACAGCAGACACACUCGCUCUGUUGGGGCAAUAUUCCUGGGGGAGACCACAAAGACAAGAAUAGCAGCAGGUGUGUGGAUCCCCAGUGCCCACUGCCUUCUAAAGAAGAACAAAGUGAUCGGUGGAAUCAGACAUCAACUUUCAGGAAAGGGACUCUGCCCUUUGGGCUGAGAAAUUUUAAAGCUGCAUUAAUAAAGAAAUGCCAAGCCCUCCUCUGGAGUAAGUAGAGGUCACAGUACAGUAUAAGGAUAAUAUAAGGUUCUGGCAUGGCAGCUCAGGGAUUGUGGCUGGAGGAACAUGAGCUCCUCCCAUUGCAUAACCAGAAAGCUAGGUCUAUGCCUGGCCAUUGCUGCUGUGUACUGUGGCAACUUCACAGUGUGAAGGAAAAAUAUCUUGGGCUCCCUAAAUCACUAAGCUAAAGGGAAAAGUCAAGCUGGAAACUGCUUAGGGCAAACCUGCCUCCCAUUCUAUUCAAAGUUAUCCCUCUGCUCACUGAGAUAAAUGCAUAUCUGAUUGCCUCCUUUGGAGAGGCUAAUCAGAAACUCAAAAGAAUGCAACCAUUUGUCUCAUAUCUACCUAUGACCUGGAAACUCGCUCCCUGUUUUGAGUUGUCCCACCUUUCCAGACCAAACCAAUGUUCAUCUUACAUAUGCUGAUUGAUGUCUCAUGUCUCUCUAAAAUGCAUAAAACCAAACUGUGCUCUGACAACUUUGGGCACAUGUCAGGACCUCCUGAGGCUGUCACAGGCACGUGUGCUCAACCUUGCUUGGUAAAAUAAACUUUCUAAAUUAACUGAGACCUGUCUCAAAUUUUCUGGGUUCACAUUAGCAUGACCUGUUCCCCCAGCAUUCAUGAUUGGGAAGCCACUGCCUUUCUCCUGGCCUGCUCAGGAGGCUAGGUCCAACCCUUGGGAUUCACUGGGAUUGGCUGCCUUCCACCCACAGCUAUAAUUCAUUUCCAAGGAGCUUUGCAUCCAGCUCCUUUUCUAGAAGGCUGAUGAGUGAGAAUCAGUCUUGGACACAUUAGGGCUUACCUUUCUGAGCCACCCCAAAUGAGCUUCCCACACCUUCUUCCCAAAUUGUCCUCACCUUCUCAGAUCUGCAGGCCUUCCAGUGCAGAGGGAAGAUCUGCCUAAGUAAGUUUACUGGUUAGAGGAGCAGAAAAUGUAUGUGUCCUGAAGCAAGAUGCUGUGAAAGAGAAAACCCAGAAAAGGCUAAACCUCAGUCCUUCUUCCAAAUCAUCAGCUUAGUCAUUCACCUACCCUUGGAGAGGGGAGCAAAGGAUAGAGAAGCUGUCAGAAAUAUUCUAGUUUUUCCUCCUGGGGAGGGAAGCACAAGUUUCUUGUCCUCUAUGGAAAUGUGCAGCAGCUUUGGAUCAAAAAUAAACUGGACAUGGAUGGAUGGUGGUGAUGGCUUCACAACAGUGUGAAUGUAGUAAACACCACCGAACUGUACACUAAAAACUGGUUAAAAUAGUACAUUUUAUGAUAUUUACUACAAUUACCCAAUCACUGUAAAAAAGGAACUGGAUCUAAUCAUGCUUUUGAUUUUAUUUUUGCUUUGUUUUGAAUAGUUAAUAUAUUCAUAUGAUUUUAAAUGUAAAAAACACAAAUGGCCCCUUCAUAAUCUUUUCCUAGCUAAUGCAGUUUCUUCUUCAGAGGCAAACAAUAAAAACAGCAUUUUCAUAUUCUUCCAGAGAUAUUUUACGCAUUCUCUAGCAAAUACAUGUUUUAAAAAUUUUUGACACAAAUGGUAUUGUAUGUUACACACUGUUCUGCAAUUUGCAUUUUAACUUAAUGAAAUUUCUUGGGGAAUGCUCCAUAUCAGUGUAUCAGAGUUCCAGCAUUCAUAGAGCUAUACGUUUUCCUAGAGCACAGAUUUCCGUAGUUGGCUUAACCAGUCCCCCUUAUGUGCAAAUAUAGAUGUUUUUACUCUUUUGUUGUUCCAAACAGUGAAUAUCCUCUUAUGUGUGUCAUUUCUCAUAUUUAUCUACUCAUAAGAUAAAUUCAUAGACAUGGAAUUGUCCAAUCUUGGUUUUAAUAGUUUUCAUUAUAGGCCAACUUGACUUUAAUGCUGUUGAGUAGACAUUUGGAAUGCAGUACUAACUGACCAAGACCUCUAAUCUAACAAGCUAUCCAGAAAACUGAUGAUGUCUUUCUUACUCACAGAUCAUUGUUCCAGUUUCAUAUGUGCACUAAGGUGGGAAAACUGUCAAACAGACCCCAAGAAAAUAAUGUCCAUUUUCAAAAAGCAACUCUUUCUGGCAGAGGUCUGAUUAGCCCAUAACACAUAACUAUCUGAUUAUAAAUGAGCUUUCUUAAAAUAAUUUUUAAUAUUUUUUCCCACUGUAAUUUUUCCAUGUUUCUAUGUAUGCUAUACAUUUUUGUUUUGUAACAAUUAAAGGGCCCUGACAGGUUAGCCAGAGAAAGUAAUAUUUAUUAUCUGUAUAUUAAGAUGAGAAAACAAGGAACAUAGGCCAAGGGAAGUUUCCACUUGUCCAAAGUCACCCAGCAAGUUAGUGGGAGAGCCUGAACUAAAAUGCAGGUCACAACCUAAUCCCAUGCUCUGUUCACUGAUCCAUAUUUGUCCUUUUUGCCAGUUCUCAAAAGUAAGUGAGCUGUUCCUAAACCUAUUGGGUCUAGAAGUGGUCUCAGUUUAUGGGCAGCUGACGAUGUCUCACUAUGAAGAACUUGUCCUGAUGGUGUGCAGCUGCUGAAGAUGUAUAGCAGGGAUCUUCCAUGGGAGGUCCAAGAAGGCUGAUAUCUUCCAGGCUUGCCUAUAGGUAUAUGUGGCUCACAUGCCAAGAUGGGAACAAGUAAGUCUGAGCUUGGAGAACGUUUGAUACUGCUAAGCAGAGAAGAACCAGGGGUGAGUGAAUUUUGUGCAAUGGGGAAGAAUUCUUCACAUUGUGUGUACCAAAAUGCUAUGAACUAUUAAUAUAGUCAUGCUUUGCAUAACGAUGUUUCAGCCAACAAUAGAUCACAUAUACUAUGGUGGUCUCAUAAGAUUAUACUGGAGCUGAAAAAUUCCUCUUGUCUAGUGAAGUAGCCGUCAUAACGUAGUACACAAUGCAUUAUUCAUGUGUUUGUGGUGAUGCUGGUGUAAACAAACCUACUGCACUGCCAGUCAUAUGAAAGUGUAGCACAUACAAUUAUGUACAGUACAUAAUACUGGAUGAUGAUAAUAAACGACUGUGUAACUGAUUUAUGUAUUUACUAUGCUAUCCUUUUUAUUGCAAUUUUAGACUGUGCUCCUUCUACUUAUAAAGGAAUAAAAUUAACUGUAAAGCAUCCUUGGGCAGGUCCUUCAGGAGGUAUUCCGGAAGAGGGCAUUGUUAUCAUAGGAGAUGACAGCUCCAUCCUGUUACUGCCCCAAAGACCUUCCAGUGGGACAAGAUGUGGAGGUAGAAGACAGUGAUAUUAAUGAUCCUGACUCUGCGUAGGCCUAGGCUAAUGUGUGUGUGUCUUAGUUUUUAAAAAAGUUUAAAAAGUAAAAGACAAUUUAAAAAUUUUUAUUAGAAUAAAGCUUACAAAAUAAAGAUAUAAAGAAAGAAAAUAUUUUUGUUCAGCCAUAGAGUGUUUGUGUUUUAAGCUUAGUGUUAUUACAAAAGGUUCAAAACUUUCAAAAAAUUUAAAAGUUUAUAAAGUAAAAAGUUAUAGUUGGCUGAGUGCGGUGGCUCACACCUGUAAUCCCAGCACUUUGGGAGGCUGAGGCAGGUGGAUCGUGAGGUCAGGAGUUCGAGACCAGUCUGGCCAACACGGUGAAACCCCAUCUCUACUAAAAAUACAAAAAUUAGCCAGGUGUGGUGGUGGGUGUCUGUAAUCCCCACUACUCAGGAGGCUGAGGCAGGAGAAUUGCUUGAACCCGGGAGGCAGAGGUUGCAGUGAGCUGAGAUGGUGCCACUGCACUCCAGCCUGGGCGACAGACCAAGACUCUGUCUCAAAAAAAAAAAAAAGUUAUAGUUUAAUUUUUAAGGUUAAUUUAUUAUUGAAGAAAAAUUUUUAAUGAGUUUAGUGUAGCCUAGGUGUACACUAGGUGUUUAUAGAGUCUACGAUAGUGUACAGUCAUGUCCUAGGCCUUCACAUUCACUCAUCACUCACUAACUCACACAGAGCAACUUCUGGUCCUGCAAACUCCAUUCGUGUUGAGUGUCCUAUGUAGGUGUAUUACUUUAUAUCUUUUGUACUAUAUUUUUACUGUAUUUUUUCUUUGUUUAGAAAUGUUUGGAUACACAAACACUAGUGUGUUACAAUUGCCUACAGUAUUCAUUCAGUACAGUAACAUGCUGUUGCAACCUAGAAGCAAUAAGCUACACCAUAUAGCCUAGGUGUGCAGUAGGCUACACCAUCUAGCUUUGUGUAAGUACAUUCUUUGAAGCUUGCACGAUGACAAAAUUGCCUAAUGACACAUUUCUCAGAACAUAACUCCAUCAUUAAGCUACAUAACUUAAACCCCUGCUAUGCAAUGAAACUCAGGUAGCAUAUUAAAAAAUAGAUAACUCAAGCAUUGCAUACAGAGAAGCCAUUCUUGGAACACCAGACAAUAAGCAUUGCAUUAGAUCAGAGCAGUUCUGGGCACAUCUAUGGUCAACAAGAAAUAUUCUCAAAGUCUGAACUUUGAGCUAUAGUAGACAGACAAACUAAGAAUUCCUCAAAGUUAGUAUUUCCAACCGUGAUGUAAGAGUCUAUUCUGAGUGUUGUGACAAACUAUCUCCAGAUCUCGCUAGAGUAACACAAUAAAGGUUUGUUUCUCACCCAUCACAGUCGGGUAUGGCUGUAUGAGGGAGGCGUGAGGAAGGAUCUGCUCCUCGCCCAUCACAGUCGGGUAUGGCUGUAUGAGGGAGGCGUGAGGAAGGCUCUGCUCCAUGCAUUCAUGGAAGUGGCCUUGAUCACCAGCCUAGCACUUCACUGGCAGGGCUCAGUCAAUGACAUCUAGUGGCUGGGAAGCUCGGAAAUGAGCUUUCCUUUGUGCUCAGAAGUAGGACUUGGGCGAACACAUAGCAGUAUCUCUGCUCCAUCCACAUAAACGGGCUCAGAACUUAAAUGGAAAGAGACGCUGAAGAGGGCAUCAAAUAUAUGAGAACUGGAACAGGGAAAGGAACAAAGAUCUGAACAGGAUCAGAUAGAGAUAUUUGCCUACAGACAAGUCCUUGGUUAAAAGACCGUGGAAAUUGAUUCUAGAACUAUAUAUUAUUUAUGGCUUGUGGGACGCAGAAAUGUGUUCUGGUUACCUGUGCAAUAAACUGUACAUACUUCUCAUUUCAGAGUUGGAGUCAAUCACUCUCUGUUGGCCUUUUUUGCUGUCUUUACAAAGUCAUGGGUUAACGAACCCUACUGGGUACUUCUAACAUGAGGUGUCUGGGCUGGGAGAGUCUUACUGGCAAUUGAUGUCAAGAUUCUUCGUCCAGAGGCACAGAGCAGAAAGGUUCUUGGUCCACAGACACCUUAAAACAAGGCCACCCUGGCCAGGUUUAUUCCCGUCUGGCGGCCUACACAUUUCUUAUAUCCUGGAAAAACUGGUGAGCAAGCAAGUGUCGACCUCAGAGUCUCUGACAGGGCUAUUUUGAAACCACACACCAUGAAAACUCUCAGGGAAGUUAAAAAACAAACAAUCAUAACCAAGGCAGUUUAGCUGUUUUGAAAAGAGAUGGAGCUUCAUUACUUCAAACCCAAAUUUCUGCAAGCCUGACAACCACCUUACAUCAAAAUAAACGUCUACCUGCUAGCUGAAAUGUUUAAAAACACAGGUGAGCUCUAUUCUCUGAAAUACAAGCCUUCUCUAACCUGAGAAAUGUAAAUACCUAUGAAGGUGGGUCCAUGAAGGGGAGGUUGAUGAGGAUGGGCCUAUGUAAGAGUGUGUGUCAAGGUUGUUACUUGUAUUUGUGUUACCCUGUGGAUGUGUGUGUGUGUGUGUUUGUGUGUGUGAGAGAGAGAUUCAGAGCAGGAAGAGGAAGGCAACUCACAUGGAUCCAUGUUUUUCGUAACACUGUGUGAAACUCCAGUUAAUUGACUGUAAAAAAAUAGGAACCCACAAGUAACUGACAUUAGUACCGCUGAAAGGCUCCCAGAAGACCUAACUCUUGCUGGCUCCAUAAUCACAAGCACCUGCAAAGCUCUGCCUUGGUGAGGAGAGGGCAGAGCACACCUGCUAACCGACAUCUGCCUGGAGGAAGGAAAGACAGAGCUUCAACCCUGAACACAGAGUGCUGGUCUCUCUUAUGUGCUUGACUGUCAUGCUCAGUUGCAUUGUGCAUGAGUCUGCCUGUCAGCCUGCACUGAAUUUUGCAGCACUGUUCCAGGGUUUACUAUCUGCACUCUGUUCCCAAAGACCUGUUGCCCCUACCUGUGUGCUCCCGGAGGAAUCUGGUUUCUAUAACAACAGACCCCAUCACCAGCGUGGUGCACAAGGCCACCUGCCAAUCCAUUCUGAUUAAGCCCAGCCCUCAGCCUGUCCCCUCCAGACCUGUCACACCAAUUCCCAUUCAGGCACCAGCACUGAUCAUCAGUAUUUCCCAAGAGUGGAAAGGGGAAAAUAGAGACUCAGUAAAUAUAUGUAAAUAAAAGCAGAGUUUUCGUAAGCCAUUCUAAUCUUGAUAUAGUUUGCAUUUCCUUCACUGUUGCUUUAUAAAAGCCCUCUUAAGCUUGCAGCAAGAAGAAUAGGAAGUCAGCUGUCAAUUAGCUUACUAUGAUGUUUUCUCAGUCAUAUUUUGAAAGAGAAGUUGAAUUCAACAUUUUCCAAAAAUCUGCAAACAGCAGCAUGCUGCAUUUAUGGAGAUGACACCUUUUGUGGGUUUUUCUCUUUCAUGGGUAGGAUUUUUCGGAGAGACCACACUGGGAGAAGAGAAUAGGUGAGGAGUUGCUCUGUGAGCUUGCUGCAAUCUGGAAGGAAUAAAGUUGCAGAAAUAGGAAAUUGGAAGCAGAAAUAGGAUAUAGGAAAGUCUUAAGGACUACGAUUUUUGUAUUGCAACUAGAUUCACCUUUGCAGCCAUCCUUUUAACAAGACAAGCCACUCAACUAAUACAUGCUCUGAAGGAGCGAACAGAACUGACUAAACUAAUACAGAAGCAGGGGCUCAGUGGCUGCAGGUUGCAUGAAAAAUUACCCAUUGCAGUUGCAGGGCCCCAUUGUGAGCACCGGUCCUCUAGGAGAAUGCUGGGCUACUUCUUUCUUUACCAAUUGUUGCUAAGAGCAGGUGACCUCACAUGCUGUUUUAGCAACUCUUACUACUGAGAAUUAUUCUCUUGGGAAGUUCAGAAGCUGGCAAAAUAAAUCUUUGUAUUCACUCUGCUUAUAUUCUGACAACACUGACUAAAAUCCUCUACUUUGAAAAGGAAAUAUUCUUCCCAGGCAAAUGCAACUGAUGAAAUAGAUUCUCUGUGUGUGGAUUUGAAGGUGUUAAAGUAAUGAUACUAAUUGCUUUCAUUUUGAUAAGCUUUACAGGCUCCAGAGUUCUCUCACGAGUUCCAUUUCAUUUGAUAUUUGCAGUUACCAUGUGAGGUAAGCAGAGCUGACCUUGACUGGCAUCUCUAUCAGCAGCUCAGUGGGAUUAAAUGGCUUGCCAAUGUCACAAGAUGGAGUUUUGCUCUUGUCACCCAGGCUGGAGUGCAGUGGUGUAAUCUCGGCUCACGGCAACCUCUGCCUCCCAGGUUCAAACGAUUCUCCUGCCUCAGCCUCCUGAGUAUCUGGGAUUAUAGGCGCACGCCACCACGCUCAGCUGAUGUUUUGUAUUUUUAGUAGAGAUGGGGUUUUGUCAUGUUGGGCAGGCUGGUCUCAAACUCCUGACCUCAGGUGAUCCGCCCACCUCGGCCUCCCAAAGUGCUGGGAUUACAGGUGAGAGCCACCGCGCCUGGCUGAAAUAUCAUUUCUGUUAAAUACAAAUUCCCAUAUAUAAGUGGAUCAGUUCCUAGACUCUACCAUUCUGUUGGUUCAUUUGUCUAUCCCCACACCCAUACCAGAAUUUUAACAUUAUUAUAGCUAAAGAGCAAGUCUUAAUAGCUGGUGUGGUGUUUGCCCUUAUUUUUUUUGUUUUAGCUCACAUUUGUUUUUGUUUUCAUUAGUCUUUCCUCUUCCAGUAUUUUAGGAUCUGAUUGUGGAUUCCUGUGAAAAAUGCUAUUGGAAUUGAUAAAGGAAGUGUACCUAAAUAGGUUAAUUUGGAAAAAUUUUGCCACUUGUACUAUAGUUAUCUAUGGUAAAUGUGAUAUAUCUCUCUAUUUAGGCCUCCUUUUUAUAUUUAUAUCAUUUAAUAUGGAUUUAUAAUUUUUUCUGUAAAUAUUUAUACAUUUUUAUUACCCAUAUUAUGAGGUAUUUAUAGUGCUUGCUACAACUGUAAAUAGCAGCUUCUGAAAAAUGAUAUUUUCUCACAAUUUAUUGUAGAUGUUCGGGGACCAUCUUAAAAAUCAGUUUUUAAUUAGGUAACUUGUUGAAUUUCCUUAUUCCUUUCAAUAGUUGGCUGUUACUUAUUUUGAAUUUUUUAAACUAGAUAAUCAUAGCAUCUAAAAUCAUAGGUGGGAAUUGAACAAUGAGAUCACAUGGACACAGGAAGGGGAACAUCACACUCUGGGGACUGUUGUGGGGUGGGGGGAGGGGGAGGGGUAGCAUUGGGAGAUAUACCUAAUGCUAGAUGACGAGUUAGUGGGUGCAGCGCACCAGCAUGGCACAUGUAUACGUAUGUAACUAACCUGCACAAUGUGCACAUGUACCCUAAAACUUUAUAAUAAUAAAAAAAAAUUAAAAAAAAUUAAUAAUACUGUGGCUCACGCCUGUAAUCCCAACACUUUGGGAGGCUGCAGCGGGCAGAUCACCUGAGGUCAGGAGUUCGAGACCAGCCUGGCCAACCUGGUGAAACCCAGUCUCCACUAAAAAUACAAAAAUCAGCCAGGCAUGGUGGCAGGCACCUGUAGUCCCAACUACUUGGGAGACUGUGGCAGGAGAAUUGCUUGAACCCAGGAGGCAGAGGUUGCAGUGAGCCAAGAUCACCCCACUGCACUCUAGCCUGGGCAAAAGAG